rnacentral:lncRNA from 1 species
GAAAAGAUGACCCGGUGAAUCAACUUGAAAUAAUGUGUGUGGUUAAUAACACAAACAUUUACUGUAGGCUGCUGAAACAACGUGAAUUGAAUAGUCUAACCUUUCACUGCUGAUAGCAGGCCCACUGUACUUGAGGUAGGAUCUCUAAUGCUAUGGGGAAAUGAAUUGGGGAUGGAUUUAUCUGUAACACGCGGGAAAGGGCGCUGUAAAUUAUUUUGAGAUUUGCUUAGUUCGUUAGCUUCUCAUGGCACCAAAUGCCUAUUUGCGGGUAAGUGACAUUAAGAAAGUUACUAAAUUUGAAAGGUCAAUGUACUGUCAACCUAUAAAAGUCGGGCGUCCAGUUCCGAGACACACAAACACACAAGGCCUCGAAGCAUGAAAGCCCAGAAACGCAAAUCGAGCAACCCAGAACCACGGCCCAUGCGUUCUAAAGUCUUAAAGAGGGAUGAGACAACCUGUGCCCCCCAGAUCUCCAAAGGUGGUCCACUCUGCACUCUCUCUGUUAACAGACAUAUCUCCAUUUCCACCCCAGCUAAGGGAAAGGGCUCUGGGAUGACGGUCCCAGAUGGGCUGUCACCAAUGAGACACUCUCCCAGGUUCAAGCAGAGGACCAUUGCUUCAGGCCAGCUUAAGAAUGGGGAGGAUUGCCAGCUAUCUCCCAGCCCCUCUGAGGCAGAGGAGGAGGACACAGAACUGGGCCUGGUAAUCACCUUAGGUGAGCUUCUCAACUCUGCUUCUUGUGACACUCUGAAUAAACAAGAACAAUUUCGAAAAACAACCCCCCCCCCUCCCCUCAGACAACCCUCAGAUAUCAUAUUCAAAACUGCAAUAAUUUCUCUCCACCUUAUGGCAAAAUUAGUCGAAUUGCAGGAAAUUAGCUUUCCAAACCCAUUGGCAAAAUGUGUGGAAUUGAAGGAAAUUAGCUCUCUCCACUGUCGAGGCGGGGCGCUAAAAUGUUUUGCUCCCAACAAUUUCACUUAGGUCCCCCAAAAGUCUAGGGCCUGCUCUGACUGCAUGUGUGGGUAUGUAUG